CUGCCAUGGGAGGAAUGACUCUCCGAGUCAGAGACACAGGUACCAGGUCUGCUGGUGGCUGGCCGGGGGCAGCGCUCAGCAUCUUCUGGCUUUUCUCAGGACCUAAUGCAGAAACCCCUUGUGCUGAAUCCCUUUCCUAUUUUCAAUCUCUCUGACUUCUACUGUAACCAGCCAGGAAAAACUCCCUGCUUUUAAAUCUCCACUUGGAUAAUUGCAUUUUAAGGUGAACUGAUUUGGUAACUUUAAUUAUGUAAAAAAAAAAAAAAAAUCCCUUCACAGUGGGACCUGGAUUAGUGUUUGGUCAAAUAACCAGGGGUAGGAGUCUCUAGGGACCGUCCACCACCAGAUCCAACAGCCCUUGGCUCUUCUCUAACACAGGUGCAGUUCAAGGGAGAGAAUGGGGGGGCUUCCUCAGUGGUCCAGUGCCACCAAGUGAGAAGAAGGCCAUACUGCCAAGGCAGGGGGCAAGGGUUUUCAUCCCUGGUCUGGGAACUAAGAUCCCACGCAUUGUGCAGUAUGGCCAAAAGAUUUUUUAAAAAGUGAGAAUGGAGACAGUCAUUGAAAUCUAGCUGGACUUCCUGUUUUAAUGGACUCUGGUCUCACGUGACUUAGAGAAAUACAGAGGGUGCGUUCUUUCUUGCUGCCCUCCCUUUCUGUGAAUACUGACCAAGUGACACACAUUUCUUAUCACCAUUUUGCAGAUGGGGAAACUGAGGCACAGAGCAUUUUGGAAACUUUCACGAGUUGCAGAGGCAAGAAAGCAAGCCUCCAUGGAAGCGGAAGUGCUGGAACCUCGCUCAGCCCGAGUUGCAAACCUCUGCAGGCCAGUGGAAGUUUUGUAUUUUUUUCUUUAAAAGCAACUGGUUGUUCACCACACACUCGCUCACUUUAGGGUCGACAGGUGUAUGCUGUUCGGAAAUGUGGCAAACCCGCAGGCUGAUUCCUUGGGCUCUUUGCUACCUAAGAAAGAUUACCAAAUAAGUUAACUUUGACUCACUGACCCCUCAGAUCAGCCAAUAAAAUGAAGCGCUUACACCACAACUUGCUCAAGGGGUAGUGUAAUUGAUUUACUUAAAAAUGAUGUCAGGUGGCAAUUGAGCAACAAACUGGCUUCCAGACUGCUUAAUUCAGUUUAACAAGGAGGAAAAACCUUGUAAUUAACGGAAGAGCUUGAAUACUUUGGAAGCUGUUUUCAAAGUCUGCCAUACCUAAGCUGG
rnacentral:lncRNA from 1 species